GAUGAACGCUAGCUACAGGCUUAACACAUGCAAGUCGAGGGGCAGCGCAGUGUAGCAAUACAUGGGCGGCGACCGGCGCACGGGUGCGUAACGCGUAUCCAACCUUCCCGUUACUCAGGGAUAGCCUUCCGAAAGGGAGAUUAAUACCUGAUGGUAUUCAAAUUCCGCAUGUUAUUUGAAUUAAAGAUUUAUCGGUAACGGAUGGGGAUGCGUGACAUUAGGUAGAUGGCGGGGUAAUGGCCCACCAUGCCUACGAUGUCUAGGGGUUCUGAGAGGAAGGUCCCCCCAACACUGGAACUGAGACACGGUCCAGACUCCUACGGGAGGCAGCAGUGAGGAAUAUUGGUCAAUGGUCGGAAGACUGAACCAGCCAUGCCGCGUGAAGGUGACGGCCCUAUGGGUCUUAAACUUCUUUUGUAAGGGAGCAAUAAGUUCUACGUGUAGGAUGAUGAGAGUACCUUACGAAUAAGCAUCGGCUAACUCCGUG
rnacentral:rRNA from 1 species